rnacentral:lncRNA from 1 species
ACGCCUGGCUAAUGUUUGUAUUUUUAGUAGAGACGGGGUUUCGCCAUGUUGACCAGGCUGGUCUUGAACUCCUGACUUCAGGUGAUCGGCCUGCCAUGGCCUCCCAAAGUGCUGGGAUUACAGGUAUGACGCACUGCCCCCGGCCAGAAACAUCUUUUGAUGUGUCGUUAUAUUUUGGGAAAAGAAUAAAAAGGAAGAGAGAGAAGAGGUGAGCAGAAAUUUGGCAGCCAGAGUGACCAAUUCCUGAGAUCCGUGGUGGUCCAGCUUAUUGGGUAAGGGUUUGGGUUCUAUCACAAAGCUUCACAUUUAAAACCCUUCUCUUAACUCUCAUGUUGUGAUCUUGGACAAGCUACUUAAGUCAAAGACUCCUUGUCUGUCAAGUAAGUAUGAUACUCAUAUCUAGCUGAUAGGUAAUCAUCCAUCCCUACAAACCUGAAGGUUUUUAUAGAAAUUUCAUGGCAUAAUGUAGGAACAAUGCACAGUGCCUGGCUCAUAACGAGUGCUCAAUGAACCUCUCUCUCAUGCAGUAAUGGUAAGUACAGAAACCAUUAGAGGCCGGGCGCGGUGGCUCACGCCUCUAAUCCCGGUACUUUCAGAGGCCAAGCUAGGUGGAUCACGAGGUCAGGAGAUCGAGACCAUCCCGGCUAAAACGGUGAAACCCCGUCUCUACUAAAAAUACAAAAAAUUAGCCGGGAGCAGUGGCGGGCGCCUGUAGUCCCAGCUA